ACAGAGGUCUCAAGCGUUGUUCGGAAUCACUGGGCGUAAAGGGUGCGUAGGUGGCGUGGCAAGUCAGAUGUGAAAGCCCGGAGCUCAACUUCGGAACUGCAUCCGAUACUGCCAUGCUAGAGCGCUGAAGAGGUGACCGGAAUUCUCGGUGUAGCAGUGAAAUGCGUGGAUAUCGAGAGGAACACCAAAGGCGAAGGCAGGUCACUGGGCAGUUGCUGACACUGAGGCACGAAGGCCAGGGUAGCGAACGGGAUUAGAUACCCCGGUAGUCCUGGCAGUAAACGGUGCACGCUUGGUGUGGGGACAUUCGACCGUCUCUGCGCCGGAGCUAACGCGUUAAGCGUGCCGCCUGGGAAGUACGAUCGCAAGAUUA
rnacentral:rRNA from 1 species